CGGUGGAGUUCUCGGAUAUCUCUUAAUCGCAUGUAACGG
rnacentral:sRNA from 1 species